rnacentral:lncRNA from 1 species
GCCACGUGCUUGGUGUGGAUUCCGGUCGGUCGGGAUUGUGAUAAGUGGAGGUAGUGGGAUCCCCAGCCCCGCGAGGACGCCCCCAGAUUGCCAGGGUUCGUCUAGUCCUUAAAGGUACUGGUUGAGAAACUGUACUGCAGUGAGCUUGGCAAAGGUGGCGUCAUCCAGGCUUUUUCCGUAUUGCCUCUGUGCCGUGUCACGCCCUACCACUGUGCAGUAACUUCCUGGAUUGAAAAGAGACACCGGAUAGGUGGAAGGUAGCUGUCGUGUGAAGAAGCGGUGGGGGAGAGUAGCCCUUUGGUUAGGUAUGGUUCAAAGUGUAUUUUUUUUUUUUAAAUCUUUUAGUUGUCCAUGAAUCUUUAUUAUUUUUUAGUCUAUUUAUAUGUGGUGCUGAGAAUCGAACCCAGUGCCUCACAUCCUACCACUGAGCUACAACCCCAGCCCUCAAAGUGUACUUUCAUUUCUAAACCUCAAGUCCGCUUUAUGACAGUUUGACUUGGCUAUUUUUACAAAAGAGCGACAGAGAAGGCAAGUAACCUUGUUCAGGGUCCAGAAAGGGCAAACAGCUGGAUCUUAUUACAUAAACAAAGAACAGAUAUCUAAGGGGAUUCUUUAUUUUUUUCUCUCUUUUUGGUAGUGGUAGUUGAACCCAGGGGCUUCCUACAAUUGAGCUAUACCCCAACCUUUUUAAUUUUUUAAGACAGGGGGUCUCAUUAAGUUGAUGGGACUGACAUCCAGCUUGUGAUCCUCCUGCCUCAGCCUCCCAAGUCUCUGGGAUUAUUGGCAUGCACCACCACCCAAGAGGAUUCUUUGUGACAGUUUGACCUUCAUUCUGUAGGGGAAGGUGAACCAUGAAUGAACCUAGGGAAUACUAAUUACUGUUAGUCGGGGAGUGACUGAGGCAAGGGAACCAAAUAGAAGGCUAUGGGGGGGGGGGGGCGCAAAAUUACAAUGUAUGCGGUCAAGGGGAGAAAUAAAGAAUGUACAAGGGCUUCUGCCCUUUUCAGUGCUUUAUUCACUCAAAUUACUGAAUACAAUUUCACUCUAUAGGUUCUUAAUCAAGAAAACAACAAUCUUUAAUGCUAGGCACUGCAAUAGACAUAAUCAAUUCACAGCAAACAAUUUAGAUUAAUUUUAAGCACUGCAAAACACUUAAUCAUGAUAGGCUAGUCAUUUCCUCUGCAUGCUAAGUCCAAAAAAUCUCAAGCCUUGGGCUUUAUGUCCAGCUGAUGCACACUCACUUUAGACUGGGGUGACCAGCUUUGGAACCAAGGCAGGCUGUUCCUGGCAUGGAAUGGACGACUGGUUGAGGAGAGGGUUGUAGGGAGAAGUUGUGGCUCUCACCAGGGUCCAGACCAGGCAGUAGAGUUUGAGAGUGGGUGAAGAUCAUGCAGAGGAUCAGGAAACUAUGUCAGUUGAUGGGAUGUUAGGUCCUCACCAGGCUUUCCAGCUGAGUGCAUUCUUGUUUCAGCUGGCUGAAUCCCUGUUCAUCAGCUCUAUUAUUUAUACUAAAUUCUGGGACUUUUGACCCCCCUUUCAGUCCACUGGAAUUUUCCAUGACAUCAUUUACCCUGGGGUCAGAAACAUCUGGUCUGGUGGUCUCCACCCUGAUCCUCUCGCCUUUCCCUCUUAUCCUGCAAGGUCAGCCUGCCAGGGGCUUCACCAGGGUGAGGGGAAGUAACUUGUUUGAGGCCAUACUGGAGGGCUCUGUGGGUGUGCCUGGUGAGACUGCUGGCUUUAAACUGGAGUUUUUAAAAUGGAGUUGCUUAGACUCAGGCCUAAGGUCAUUCUCCUAAAGGCCCUUGUGAUAAUCCAUGUGAGAGAUGAGAGUGCCCUGAUGAAGUGCUCAUAUAUCUGUUAUGAAAUAAGGAUGACUUGAGUGAACAUAUAGAGGCCAUCACCUGAACUAAAAAAUUGAGAGGAGGAGGAGGUACAUCCAAUAAAGGGAUGAGUUUUGUUUUGGGUGUAUUAAAUUUGGUUAACCAAGGCUAAUGUUGAUUCCAGUGUGCAAAGUGGACUAAAGCUUCUCUGUCUUUUCUAUGAUAUGUGGCAGAAUAAGAGUCUUCAGAAUUGGAAGGCCUCAGAGGCUUACAUCCUAACUCCAGUGACCCUGAACGUCUCUACCACUGCAUUGACUACAUUUUGAUUUGAAACACUUAACUGGUAUCCAUCUUUUCCCCUAAUCCUGUGCUAUCCAGUACUGUAAUAAUGACUGGCCACGUAUGGCUUUUGAACACUUGAAAUGUGGCUAAUGCAACUUGAGAGAGGCUGUUAAGUGAAAGCUACACACCAAUAAAUAAAUACCCCCCCAAGAAUGUCAAAUCUCACUAAUAAUAUCUGUAUGCUAAUUACACUUUGAAAUAAUUUUUGAAAUGUUGG